UACUAAGCGGAGGAAAAGAAACUAACUAGGAUUCCCUUAGUAGCGGCGAGCGAACAGGGAUGAGCCCAGCACUGAAUCCCGCGGUCGUAACCGGCCGCUGGGAAAUGUAGUGUUUGGAAGCGUCCGUUAUCCCGACGUCUGGCAGUGUGUCCAAGUCCAUCUUGAACGGGGCCACAACCCAUAGAGGGUGCCAGGCCCGUAGUGACCGUUGCCGAUGUCGGGAGGAUGUCUUCUGAGAGUCGGGUUGCUUGAGAGUGCAGCCCUAAGUGGGUGGUAAACUCCAUCUAAGGCUAAAUAUGACCACGAGACCGAUAGCGAACAAGUACCGUGAGGGAAAGUUGAAAAGAACUUUGAAGAGAGAGUUCAAUAGUACGUGAAACCGUUCAGGGGUAAACCUGAGAAACCCGAAAGGUCGAAGGGGGAGAUUCAUCGCGUCUCGCCUCGCCGGCACUAGGCGUUCGUGUGACGAGCGGCGUACGCGUCGCUUGCACCGUCUGCCCUCUGUGAACCGGUGGCGAACGUGUGCACUUCUCCCCUGGUAGGACGUCGCGAUCCGUUGGGUGUCGGUCUACGGCCCGUGGUGGAGCCCGUCCGGCGGUGGCUUGCCCCACUGUCUGUGCGGACCCACGGUGCUUCCUGGCCGGCUCGCCCGACGGUGUACAGAAAGGCGCAGGGCCGCGGCUCAGUUCGCGUCCAGCCCGCGGCAAGUAUGGUAGGUGUGUUGGCGAUCGGACCUGGUGCCGGUCCCGGCCCCUAUCGACUGCUAGCUGCGGUGCCCUUGGACAGACCCUGUUGAAACGCCAAUCUGCGACGCUAUUGCUUUGGGUACUUUCAGGACCCGUCUUGAAACACGGACCAAGGAGUCUAGCAUAUGCGCAAGUCAUUGGGACAUUACUAAACCCAAAGGCGUAAUGAAAGUAAAGGCUCGUCUUGUGCGAGCCGAGGGAAGAUGGGCGGUCGUUCCCAAUACGGCGGCCGUCCCGCACUCCCGGGGCGUCUCGUUCUCAUUGCGAGAAGAGGCGCACCAAGAGCGUAUAUGCUGGGACCCGAAAGAUGGUGAACUAUGCCUGAUCAGGACGAAGUCAGGGGAAACCCUGAUGGAGGUCCGUAGCGAUUCUGACGUGCAAAUCGAUCGUCGGAAUUGGGUAUAGGGGCGAAAGACCAAUCGAACCAUCUAGUAGCUGGUUCCCUCCGAAGUUUCCCUCAGGAUAGCUGGCACUCGUAGCAUACGAGUCUCAUCCGGUAAAGCGAAUGAUUAGAGGCAUUGGGGUCGAAACGACCUCAACCUAUUCUCAAACUUUAAAUGGGUGAGAUCUCCGGCCUGCUCGAACAUGAGGCCGUGAGAAUAACGGAUCAGAGUGCCAAGUGGGCCAUUUUUGGUAAGCAGAACUGGCGCUGUGGGAUGAACCAAACGCCGAGUUAAAGCGCCUAAAUCGACGCUUAUGGGAUACCAUGAAAGGCGUUGGUAACUUAAGACAGCAGGACGGUGGCCAUGGAAGUCGGAAUCCGCCAAGGAGUGUGUAACAACUCACCUGCCGAAGUUACUAGCCCUGAAAAUGGAUGGCGCUGAAGCGUCGUGCUUAUACUCGGCCGUCAGUGGCAUGUGCGGCAUGUGUCCGUUUCGGCGGCACGGCCAUGAAGCCCUGAUGAGUAGGAGGGUCGCGGCGGUGUGCGCAGAAGGGCUGGUCGUAGGACCGUCUGGAGCCGCCGUCGGUGCAGAUCUUGGUGGUAGUAGCAAAUACUCCAGCGAGGCCCUGGAGGACUGACGUGGAGAAGGGUUUCGUGUGAACAGCUGUUGCACACGAGUCAGUCGAUCCUAAGCCCUAGGCGAAAGCCGAUGUUGAUGUGGUGUAGUUUUCAUAACGACACAUAACAGGAGAAGCGCGCCAGAGUGCGUAGUCUUCUCUCUAACUGUCUGUGCGUGUGAGUAUUCGCAGUAGAGCGUCUUGCAUCUAUGAGUGUGCGGCUCGCCUUGCACUUGAGCAUACAUAUGUAUGUAGUGUGGCGUUUGCGCUUGGCUCGUGAGACGUUCAACAACAGCGAACAAAACUCACACGGCGGCGGUCGAAGGAGAGAGACUAACACGCACGUAUGCGCGUAUAGCUUGUUGUCGCUUGUUGAGUUCACACCCAUCGGGCGAAAGGGAAUCCGGUUCCUAUUCCGGAACCCGGCAGCGGAACCGUCAAUAAUUCGGGCCCUUGCAAAAGAGUUCGUCGGGGCAACCCAAAAGGACCCGGAGACGCCGUCGGGAGAUCCGGGAAGAGUUUUCUUUUCUGCAUGAGCGUUCGAGUUCCAUGGAAUCCUCUAGCAGGGAGAUAUGGUUUGGAACGCGAAGAGCACCGCAGUUGCGGCGGUGUCCGGAUCUUCCCCUCGGACCUUGAAAAUCCGGGAGAGGGCCACGUGGAGGCGUCGCGCCGGUUCGUACCCAUAUCCGCAGCAGGUCUCCAAGGUAAAGAGCCUCUAGUCGAUAGAAUA
rnacentral:rRNA from 1 species